GCAUCAGGUUAUCAUGGAACGGCUUCAACAUGAAGAAAUGUACAACUAAUUGAUUAAACAAUUCAAACCUGGAAAAAUGUGACAGUGAUUAAAAUUCAUCCUGGAAAGUGAGACAUCAUAAACAGAGGGAAUGUGACCCCAAGAAGUCUGGAAACCUGGUCCACAAAUCUUACUGCCACUAAAAUUCUGAUGGAUGGUGUCAGACUUUAGAAGAUGAAAAUAUCCUCUGAUGAACAGAAAAAGAACCGAAAAGAAUAUAUUGAAGAGCCCUGAAUACAAAUAUAUUUCUGUAAUUUCAAAUCAGAAGAGGAGUACGGAAGCAGAAAAGCCAUGCAUGUGAAGUUAAGUACUGAGCAUAACUAUAAGCAGCAUCUUAAUUUUAAAUACCAGAGAUGAUGUACUGCAGUUUAUGUUAUCAGGUUAUUGUGCAUAUCUGACUAGUUUGGCUGGCAGCUAUGCAGGAAGGAGAUUUUGGUAAGAGAGGCUUAAACUGCACAUCUGCCCUGUCUGGAGGAAAGAAGAGUCCGUUUCUCAAUGUGAUAGAUACUGCUAAUGGGUCAGUGUUUAUGCAGAUGCAGAUUCUGAACCUGAAGUUGAUAGGCUACCCUACAAGGUGAUUACUGACAUAGAGUAGCAUUUUUUUUUUUUUACUUCUGCCCUGAUCAUGCCAGAGUGGUGCUGGUGCCUACCUACGAUUUUGGCUGCUGUUUCUGUCUUUCAGUCCUUACAGCAGUGCCUCAGGUAUGGCUGGCUCUUUUCAUAUCUGAACAAGGAAGGACAAGGGCACAUAAUCCCUAGGCUCUGUUAAAAUACAUACACAGAGUAACCUGUCAACUGAUUGCAGAGAAAGGAGCCAAAAAGUCCCCUCAUUCAGGCUUGCAUACUCCCUGGUGUGCUGAAAUGUUCACUCUCUGGGUAAUAGCUAAGCACCUGGACAUUUAUUUUAAAGGAAAAAACAAUCUGAUGCAUAUUUGGUUUUGUUCCCAGAAUAAUUUUUUUUUUUUAGUUUCAGGCUUUAUUUGCUGAACAAAAUAGUUGCAGGUUUCCUUUUAACCCAGUAAACUUUUGUGCUGUUGCACCUCAUUAUAUAUUUUGUGGUGCUGAGUUUUGAAUCUGCUGCUUCAAUUACAGAAACUGCCAACAGACAUAUGAAAAUCCAGAAUAUAGAGGCUGAAGCAUUCCUGCUUUUUAGCUUUGGAAUUAUUUUUGCAUACUUUGACAAUUUCCCCUUAUAAACUAAGACAGUGAUAGCUACAGUUGUGGAAUGCAAGACUAAUGCAAAAUUUUACUGCCAAAAUAGAGAAGAAAACAACUUUUUCAAACCUGAGUUUGUCAUAAUUCCUGGAUUUUCUCCCCACCUUUCUCUCUGCUCUCCACCCUCCCAAGUCAGUAAUUAAGAGAAGGGGAGAAGAAGAAGUAAAUGCAAGGCCAUGCAAGAGGAAAUAAAAAUGUAUGGGUCUUUUACCCCAAGGAGUUCCAUCUUUCUUUCUGACAAGACAUAUUGUGAUUUCAUGUCAUUUGAGUUUAUUAUGUUCAAUUCAGUGUAAGAGAUGAUGGAAGAAGUUCUGCCCCUGGUGUAUGUGAGGUGGAGUUUUAGCUCCAGUCUUUAACCUAAGUGAUUGAAAAUUGCAUGUGUGUUGUUUGUUUAAAUCAAAAGAAAAUGUACUGACUAAGCAGAUGAUACAUUGGACUAUUUGGAGUGAGAACUUUACUUCGUUUUCAGAUUGAACGAGAUGAAUUCACUUAUUAGGAGAUCCUGAAGCUUAUAGAGGUGGAUUUUGUAUAUCUGGACAGAUAACCUUGUGGUAGGAUAAGCUCAAAAGAUAAAAUUAAAACCGUGUAUGAAAAAAGCUCUCCCAGACCUUGGAGCGACUCAUCUGUCACUGUGGCUCUACUGUGUCAGUGCAUAGGUUCCCAAAUAAAAUGGCUGCAUGCGCAUGCCAUGCAGAAGUCGAGGAAAGGGAACUUUUCUAGGAAACCUGGACUUUGUACCCUUCAUGGGGAGAUGAGUGGAGAGUUAGGAAGAUGGGCAGCGGCUCAGAGCAUUGUUUCUCAUUUCCAGUUCUCUGACAGAGUAAUUGUCAGGAAGCUGAAUUUCUAUUUUGUUGCCCAGUGUGUUCAGAAUAGCUUUCGUCGGGAGAAGCAAUAUUAGAAAUAUAAUGCGAAAUGCAUUCAAUACAGUAAAAUUCUUUACUACUUUGACCUUUUAGUCCUUUGCACUGUGCUUCAUGGUGAUAUCCUACAUUCUGUGAAGAUUAGCAGGUCUGUCCGUACAAAGAGGAGAGCCCAUCAAAGAACUCUCUACUCUGGCACUUUUUGGUAUUUUGACUGUUAGUGCCUCUUCUGUUCUUUCCUGAUGGUAAAGGAGUAAUGAAGACUUUCCCAUCUGGAAGAGGAGAACCAGUGGAAGGGGAGAAUCAGUUGAGUUAUUUCUAAAUUACCUGUAAUAAAGUAGUUCCUAUUUUAAUGAUAUUGCUCGUUCUUGCUGUGUUGUUUAAAGAAAAAGAGAAAUUCCUGCCUUUGUACCCUGAGUUGAACUGACUCUGCGGUGGAGGGAAGCAGAUCUGGCAGCCCCCAGGCUAGCUUAAGAAAUGACACCAAUGGCAAAAGGCAAUCUGGUAACUGCUGUUGCCUCCCUUGAGGUUUCUGCUUGGUUGUGCACUGGUGUGGACAUAGCAGGCUGGCUCAUCUAGCUGGUCAAGUCCUCCCUUGUGCAAGGCUGGCAUAGCCUGAGGGGCAGGCAGGACAAUAAGAACCUCUGCAUUAAACUGGUCUGCUUGGUGCAGGCUUACCUGAGCUAUCUGGGAUAAUGAUAGGUUACCUGGAUCAAAGAGUGAAUUCUACAUUAUUCAUGGAGUUUCACUGAGACUUGGGCAUUCCUUGCCCCCUGGAAAGGGGCACAGAAAUCUGUGGAAAAAUAAGAGAAAAUUCUGAAUGACUCCGACUUUAUCUUAGCAUAUAGAGGGUGCGCUUUAAGUAGGAGAAAAGGUGAGAAAUAAAGAUGAAAAAUGAAAAUGAAGCAACAACUAAUGGCAAGAUAUCACUCGUGUACCAAACUCACUGUCAUGUCUGAGGAGAUGCCUAUAAAUCUGUCUUUUUUUUCAGAAAACCAAACUGGGAAAUUUCCCCCAGUUUCUCUGAAAGGGAAUUGAAGUUAAUUAAUCAUUAAUAAAAAAUAUACUCAGAUGAUUAGUAUUAGCUCUCUGCUUAGAAUAUACGCCUGUCCAAAAAACACAUUUAUUUAAAUUUUUUGUUUAAAUUAAGAAAAAAUAAAAGCCUGCGUUGUGUAACCUGACCAGAAACUGAUACAGGAGCAGGUCAUUUCCCUUGACUUAAAUUUCUUUGGUACUUUGACCUAUUCUCUGGUAAGUGUUCACAUGAUUUACACUGCAGCAUCUCUCUGUACUCCCUCUUCGAGCUUUCUGUAUGCAGAAGGAGUACCUUUUACAGGGAGGUAUUGUGCUGCUUGAAAAUGACCAUAGUUAACUUCAUGUACUGUUUUUACUCCAGUACAAUUUGUACUUUGACUCAUAAAGCUGAUGGGGUACCCUGUAAUGGAGAUACCUAUAUACUCAGGAUCGUAUACUUAAGGGGAAGGUCCCUUCUGUGUGUGACAGGUUAUGCAGUGGACAGGAUUUUCUUUUGCUAUAGAGAGCUGACUAUAUACAUUUUCUACUCCAUGUAUUGGCUCCAAAUUUCAGCAGUGUGUGUGAGAGAGAGGAGUGGAAAUCUUUCAUCCUAUUGAACCCCUCUGUGCCACCCUCCCUACAGAGAGGGGCCUGGGCCCUCUGCAAAAGUGUGAGCAACACUGAUUAUAUCAAUCUAUUUUAAGGCAGGAGUUCUCAAAGAGUGCUCUUACAGAGUCCUCUCAGCUCUCCUCCUUGAAGUCCAAGCAAGAUACUAACAAAGAAGAAUAAAACACUGUAGUUAACAUCUGGUUUGUUGUAAAAAAGCCUAUGAUAAAAGUGGUGGCUUUUGGUAGAAGAGCUUUAUCUCUUAAUCUUUGGGCUAUAUUCAAUGUGAGAGGGAUGGAAAAAGGCUAGAAUUGGUGGAUUAUACGCAGAGGGGGUUGAGCUGUUGGCUGUUUGUAAGCUUCCAUGUGAAGCAUGAAUUUGAAAUAUACUUAGAAAUCCAUGUCACUACUUUUUGUUUUCCUGGAGACUUGACUUCUGAGGCUCUGGAUAACCUGUACUUCCCAGCAAAUGCGGUGAGGGGGAAGAGGGCAGAUUUCUGACAUGAUAGUUGUUUUGAACAACAUUUUAGAGUGUAUAGUAGACAGGACAAAGAUACUCUCAUCAUGCCCACGCAGUGUAUGUGUCUGCUGUACAUUGGCUUCAUAAUCUUCUUACUAAAUGUCACAAAACAUGAUAAAAUUACUAUGCUUGAAUAGACAGUGUCUCUGAAGAAUAUAUUGUGAAUGUGGAAAAGAGGAACUUUGCUUUCAAAGAAACAGAGGCUGACCUCAGCACUAGGAUGCUCCUCUCUAUUGAAAUGUGGGAUUAAUAUAUGGAGCCACACUAGUAUAAACUGCUGAAGCGCCUUGGCGGUCUUCCAAACGAGUGCCCUUUCUGAUAGAGUUUUUAAUACUUCAAGAAGACAUAGUAUGUGCAUUUAGAUGCCAAUAAAAUGAUUCCCUGUGGGAUCCAUAAGCUGCAUUUCAAUGCUAAAUUAUGAUGACAGUGUGAAUGAUUGACCACCAGUCACCAGUGAAGCAUUUCUGCACACACGUGUUUUCGCUUUUCUGCAGUCUAAUCCCUUCUUGUGGUAAACUCUGACACUGCUUCAACCCUUAAUUGAGAUGCUUCUGUCCAUCUCUCAAUGCACGUGUUGUGCCAUUGCUGCUGAUGCUAAAGAAGCUCUAACCACCUGGCAGUUUAUUGACUGGAGCCUGACCUUAUUGCGUUCAUGACCUGCAAGAGGCUGCAGCCAAGACUUGUUUGGUCUCCAGACAGAAAGCUACAUUAAAUGAACCAAAAGAGAAAUACAUAGAUGCAACUAUUGCUGCAUCUGGCAAUUGAAGAGAAAUGAGAAGGGAACUAAAAAUCCCAUUACAAUUAUUCUUGGGUAAGAGUGUAGUUUUCUCUUUCAGAAAAAUCAAAUAACUUUGAAUGUAUGCUCCAUUUAGUCUAAGUGUGUGCAACAGGAGGGGAAUGAGCUUGCUAAACCUAGCAGGAAAGAAAGGUGACCUUCUGUUAAGGAUGAGAAUAAGGAACUAGAGUUCAGAUUAAGACAAGUGAUCUGAAAGGUUUCCCCAUAGAAUGGUCAGUAAAUUAAGACUUUGCUUAAGUUUUGAAAUUCCCUUCCCAAGAUUUUAGAUAGAUUAUUUUGGUAACAGAAUUCAGUGGCUGAAUUUGUCACAUAAGUGAAUUAGGGUAAGUAUCAUUAACCCUUUUUAAAAGAAGAAAGAUUUAACUGAUAGUGGAAAAACACGACUCACAUGAAAUGCAGCACCUGGACAAAUAGAGGAGUGAGGCAAAUGCCCAGGAUUCUGUUUCUUGUAUACAUAAUACUGUAUAAAUUGUACAAAAAUAUGCAAUUAAAAGUGAGUAAUUAAAUAGCCAAGUCUUAAUUUUAUAAUCUAGGCAGCUGUUGUAUGAUUUCUUCACAUUACAAGCUUUUUAUCUAGUGUGAAGAAUUCUCAUCGGGCAAAUGGAGAAAGGAGCUGGGAAAGAAAAAGUUCUCAGUGUUAAUUCUCUAUCUUGAUUUUUGAAGAAAUCCUGAUUUUUUUUCAGAAGUGCUGAUUAAUUCUGUUCACAUGCCCAGCCUAGCCUGAGACAGCUCAAGUAAAAUCCUGACUCCCUGAAGCCAAGAGCAAUCCUGCCGUUGUGCCAGGUAUCUGGCACAUGCAGUUUUGACUGAAAUUUACCCUGCGGUCUUGAUUUCUUGAAAGCUGUGGGGUAUCUCAAUAUUUGCAUCCAAACGCUGAAGAACAAUAGCAUAAUGACUGAAAAUGGACUCAUUCUGCUGAUGAGAAAUUCAAACACAGAAAACUCAAUAAUACUAUUUAUGUACAGCAUUUCUUAGGUUAUAAUUGUAUAUAUUCUGACUAUGAAAAAUGAGAUGGUAUAAAACACAAUCAUGUUUUCACAUACACAGGACUCCAGUAAGAAUUGGCUUUCUCUUAUGUGGAGCUUUCUUGCUUGGUACCAGGCGCUAAUGAUUCUUGUCUGCUUACAAAAAAAAAAAAAAACAAAAAACAAAGGGCAUUAAAAUGUGAAACCAUUCAGCCAAAAUCAUCAUGUCUUUUGAAAAAAUCUUUAAUAGUGAGAAAAAUAGGAGGGAUUUCUGAAAUGCCUUUUUUUUUUUUUUCUGUUCCAGCUGAAAAUUGACUGGCAGCUAUCAGCAAAUUGGAGACAGCAAAACUUUCAGAAGUAUUUGUCUUCUAAACUGCUAUCGUUGUCUGCAGCCUUCUUGGAACCAGAUUUCUAUUUGCUGACUGCAUAGGCAUUUUGUUGGAGGCUUUUUACUGAAAAUACAAGAAAUAACAUUUGAAUUGCUUUUGGAUUUCUUAUAGGAUUUUGUCUCACUUUUAAAGCCUCUGAGCUGGAUGUGUAUUUCAUUACUUCUCAUUUUUUUGUUUUUCUUCUAAAUAUCUUCUUUGUAUCUGGCACAAAGUGGAAUGCAAAAUAAUUAAGCAAGUAAUUUGUGAGUGUCUGACUACAAAAUACACUCCCCCCAACAUUAUCAGUAAUCCCAUUUUAACUAAAGUUUUGACCUGUGGUAGAGACAAUAACAAAUUAUUUUAGUCCUCUCACAGUUCUAGGUUUGCAUUAUAACUUAAAAACCUGUUACAAUCUACUGAGAUUUUUGUAUACUAUGAUGAUACUAUUCUCACUUAAUUCCCAAUGGCACUUUAAUUCUUAAAUUGCUUACAGAUUAUUUUUUUUCCCCUAAUGUUAAACUAUUUUUCAACACUACAGAAGGAGCAGAAAAUCCCCAGUCAAAACUUCUCAAUGCUAGAUUAUCUACAUGAAACAAAUACUUUUAGGUAUUUUGCCCUCCUUUGACAUUUGAAACCAGACUACUGCCUUCCUACAAGGGCUGCUUUCCGAGGCUCACAAACAGCUUGGCAUUAUACAGACAGGACUCAGCUCAGUUUUCUAAACAACUUUUUCAUGCCAUGCCACCCACACAAAAGAGUUUGGGGCUUUCCUCGCCUCUUCAGUCUUGAUACACUUCCUUUUUUAUUCCCGUGUCUCCAGUCAGUGUGGCAAUGUGUGGCCUGGAGGCUUGGCUUGUGACUCUUUGGAUUUGCUUGUUGCAAUAAGCUGAUAUACAAAUGCCCGGAAGGAUUGUCAAGGUAUGCUUGCUACACCUAGAAAUUAAGGAGGUUUUGUGGGCUUGAGAAAUGGAAACUCAAGUCCAGGCUUGAAUUUUAGGUCCUGCGAUUUGCCCCGGGUGUGUGUUGUAGUGUUUCCAUAAAGGGGAACGCUCUGUGUGGGGGGGUGUUUCAUAGCAUUCCCCAUGGGAAAUAUUAAAAUUGUAGCUUCUCUGGAAUUGGUGAUAGAGCAGUGUCCAAGUAGGUAUUUGGCACAAGCUCUACUAGUGUGAAAAAUGGGGGGUGUUGCCAUAUCGGGCACGUCCAGCCUGUGAAACACUGUAGUAUCAUUAUUCUCUCUGAUGCUUGAGUAUUUCAUUUGCUGGAGGAGUGCGGUGCAGCUGACAGAAAGGUUGUGUUAUACACACGGUGAAAGGUGCCGGCAGCGCAGCCGGUCCUGGUCACCGGAGCCCACCGAUGGCAGCAGGCGACCGGCACGGGGGGGGUGACUCCUUAGGCCAGUGGUUCAGCUCUUCGCAGGGUGUAGGAGUAGGAGGACUCACGGGCUUGGCUGGCAAGGAUUUCUGUUUCAAUCAGACAGUGGAUGGGUAGUUCAGGGCUGAUGGUGAGAUUUAAAAGGAAACCAUUUCACAGUGAUGAUCUUAGUUAUGCCUUAAAAUGUUUGUUCAGGAGAAGAUAUCUAUGCAUUGGAAAAAAACAAACAAACAAACAAACACCAGAGAAGAACAAUAAAAGGCUGUGCACAAUGCCAGCUGCCAUUAGAAGUUGAAAGUUUAUUUUCAGACCGUCGUUUUUAGAAACAUUGCUUCAAAUAAUUUCAUCGGUCUAAGGAAAAUUGUACCUCAUACCUUUUUGUUCUGUUUUCAGAGUGGAUUUUUAUGGAAGAACGGGGCUGUUCUGAGUGUUGGACAGGUUAAGCCCUGUGCUUUCAGAAAAGCUCUCUGAAAAGACACUGAGCAUUGUGUGUUUUGGUUGCAUAGUGAUACCAUGGUCAUUGCUCUGUGAUGAAUAAUUCAAAUGAAAGUGGCUGGUGGGCCACAAAUAAUUGGAACAGAUUUUGUGAGUGUAGUGUGUAACGGUGGGCAGAAGGCAGCAAAUGGGCCUUUUCCAGCUUCGUGCCCUCCUUGGGACUGGGCUCAGGUGAUGAAAAAUUCUCAUGGAAUUUCCAGAAUAUAACAAAUAAUCCCCCAACAUCAAAUAAGUAUACCCUAUCCUGGAUGGAAGUUGUAAUUGGAAGUAAGGCUUGAACUCAAAGGAGAAAAAGUGUUCCUAUCUUUUUGUUUAUUUGUAGGGGAUAGCAUUGAGAAACAGCAUGCACAACAGUACUCAUUGGGAAGGCUCCAAAUAGCGUGAUCGCUAGGAAGCUGCCAGUAGUUAGGAGAAAGAGUUUUCUGCAUCCAGCCUUCCUCAGUUCCCACAUUAGAAAUUUUACUGAGGAUUUCACAUGGUCCUAAGUUUUGCAUGCGUGUUACCCCUAUACCGCAGAAGAAGCAAGCACCCUUUUCCCUGCAUGGGGGGGAAUGCUAAUAGCUAUGUCCAACGGGCAAACAUGCAUUCUUCUGGCUAGUGGUCAAGUGAAAUUUGAAAGCCAUUAUACUGUCCAGUGUUUUUACUGAAUAGCUGAUGCAGACAGCUGGAUUGCUGGGAGCUGUCUCGGGAUCGUCUGGGAGGUUAUUGAGCUUUUGGUUUGAUCUUGGAACCAUCUUCCUGUGUAGAUGAAGGGUAAGCAUUAGUUAAGAAUGAUUACCUUAAAGUAUUAGAUGUUUACAGAUGUCAUGUGUUUCCUCAUUAGACUGCCUUUGAAAAUGAAAAUAAAGGUCAUCAGCCCAACCCAGUUCUGCGGUUACUGCAUUUUCCUGGUUUGGUUUGCUCUAGUUACUUACUUCAGGCAUUUAUAAUCUUACCGGGGGGGUGUUGGCACCCGGUGAAAUGUACCUCAGGGGAGAACAAUUCUGCGUGGCGCACCUCCUGCUCGUGGCUUUGCGUGUAGCUGGUGCCGUGCAGAUCGGCUUGGCUUGGAGGGCGCGGGGAUGGGCAGAGGUCCUGCCCGGCGCGGGCACCCACGGCACGGCGCGAGCCGCAGGGAGGGUCGG